UACGUAUGGAGCAAGCGUUAUCCGGAUUUACUGGGUGUAAAGGGAGCGCAGGCGGCUUUGCAGGUCUGAUGUGAAAGGCCGGGGCUCAACCCCGGGACUGCAUUGGAAACUGUAAAGCUAGAGUGCCGGAGAGGUAAGCGGAAUUCCUAGUGUAGCGGUGAAAUGCGUAGAUAUCAGGAGGAACACCAGUUGCGAAGGCGGCUCUCUGGACUGUAACUGACACUGAGGCACGAAAGCGUGGGGAGCAAACAGG
rnacentral:rRNA from 1 species